UCACCGGCCAGCCAGCUAGCCGCUAGCCAUGGCCGCCGGUUCCGAAGCUCUUCUUGACGCCACCGCGCUCUCCCUCUCCCUCGCGCUGCCGACGACGACGCCGGCGCCCGGCCUGGUGGCGGGGCUCAAGAUCAACAAGGAGGACUACCUCGCCAUCUGCCUCGCCGCGCUCGCCGGUACCCGAGGAACCGGCCUCAGCAACAAGGCGGUCGUCGCUGGGUUCGGCCUCCCGCAGCACCAGGGACAGGGACACGGCAAUAAUAAUAAUAAGCAGCAGCAGUGGUGCCCACCGCCGGCGGCGCUGGCGCACGAGGAGCAGCUCCGGUUCCGGUGCGCGGUGUGCGGGAAGGCCUUCGCGUCGUACCAGGCGCUCGGCGGCCACAAGUCCAGCCACCGCAAGCCGCCCACGCCGGAGCAGUACGCCGCCGCCGCGGCGGCGCAGCAGCAGGAGGCGGUUUCCGCGCCCGACUCCGAGGAGACGACGACGACGACGACGUCGUCGUCGGGAGGGACGACUUCUACCGGUGGGCCGCACCGGUGCACCAUCUGCCGGAAGGGGUUCGCCACGGGCCAGGCGCUCGGCGGCCACAAGCGCUGCCACUACUGGGACGGCACGUCGUCGGUGUCCGUCUCCAUGUCGGCGUCGGCGUCCGCUACGGGGUCGUCGUCGGCCGUCACCGUCAGGAACUUUGACCUCAACCUGAUGCCUGUGCCGGAGAACGCCGGCAUGAAGAGAUGGGUCGAGGAGGAGGAGGUGCAGAGUCCACUGCCCAUCAAGAAGCGCAGGAUCUUGGAUUAGUUUAACUCUCACUGCCUACUUUUGAGAUCGUGUGUCCAUAAAUCUCGGAUUCUCAGUUCAUGUAAAAAUGAUUGAUUUGUUCUUUUACACUAAUAUAAAUUAUUUGCUUUUUCUAUAGUAUAUAUACUAAAAGUGCCUACUUGCCCGUCUGUGUGCUCUAGAAGAUUUUUGGGAUCAAGAUCUUGAACUCUUCUCCUCUCCUCUUAAUAAUCGACACUUCAACUCCCGUGUCUCUCCGUAUUCUGAUUCAACUAAUUUGAUUAGUUGUUGACGACUUUUUAUUAUAAAAAACAACGGGAAGUCAUAACUCAAAUUUGGAAGACACCAAACUUGGACGAUGAAGUAUUUUCAGCCAAAAACAAACCACCGAUCGACUUCCAAUCGACGAAAAUCGAAAACAUUCUAACUAAUCAGAUCAGGCAUGAAAAUUUUCAAAGGGAUGUGGACAAGUACCGUGUAGCUAGGAAACACCUGCUGGUAUUUUACCAAACCACGUAACUUAACUAAGAACAACUCCAACUCCAACAGUUUUGCAAAUUUUGUUUGACAAAUAUUGUUAUUUGCCAACUCCCAAAACAAUAUGGGGAGGAAACAAAAAGGACAUCUCCAAGUGUUUGGUAAUUUUGACUUGGCAAAAGAUCAACGAAGAAGCAUCAAGUUGUCACCUUGCUAUAAAAGCACGCGCAUGCAGAAUGCCAAGCCUAUUCUAGGUGUGCAUAAAGGCCAAGAAAGGAGGAGAAUUUGCCAACUUGCUUAAAUGCCAAACCCAAUUGCCAAACUGUUGGAUAGGAGAUUUUGAGAGUUUUGGCAAAAAAAAACAAGAAUGCCAAACCUAUUUGCAAAACUGUUGAAGUUGCUCAUCAAUCGUGUGGAUAAUCUGCCAAGCGGUGUCAAGGAUCAAGUAUUCAGUCAUAUUUGAAUCUCUGACGGUUUAGGUCAACAAGAAGGACGAUUUAAUAAAACAGUUAUAGUGGUAUUUGUCUACCUGGAUUCACACUACUACAACAAAGCUUCAGAGGCAGCAACAUCAUCCACAAGAACUGAUUUAUUUAGAGGUGGCAAUAAUGUCCGUCUCUGAAUAAUCAUCUACUCCUAGAGCUUGUUGUGGGCUACAGUGUCCCCGUAAAUUAGAAAAAAGAAAACUGGCACCCUAUAGCCAAGAGUUUGUUGUCGAGCUCAUCAUUUUGGUGUCCUGGAGCCACCAUGGGGCAUGGAACUGGCCACUCCUCUGCCAAGCCCACCAUGCGAAGGUCCUCCAUCGUGAUCCUCAGCUCGAAUGAGAUGAUGAGCCCCUACUCACAAACCUCCCCAUCCUUGGCCUCAACUCGUUUGCCCUGUGAUUGAGGAGAGUGGGAGAAGGGGGUUGGUAGGAGAUGGAGGUGCCCUAAAUGAAGCAGAACCUAAAAGAGUGAAAAAGUUGAAGCCACCACUAGAGAGUGUGCGCCACUUCUAGAGUAGGGCAUAGGUUGUGUGGGCCACAUGCAUGCCACCGUUAGAGGAGGGCAGCAGCUACGUAGGCCACUUCUCCAAAGAGGCUGACAAGAAGAAAGGGGCCACACACUCCCAUCUCCUCUUCGAUAGAGAACACACAAUCACUUGUUGUGCCGUGUCAUGCUACAACUCUAGCAUCCUGUCACGCUCCAGACCUUUGCCAAGCCUGCUAGGAGAUUUCUCACAUUACUAUGGGUGGAAGGUUGGUCGGCACGGCCCCACGGCUCCCAGUCUCCUUGGUUGUCCAUGACCGUUGGUGCUAAGGUUGAGGUUGCUUAGGGAGUUUGUGGAGCUCUGUCGCUUGCCUGGCCUAAGUCAUUUUUUUCAAGGCCAUGAGGUUGUUCGGUUAUAGGGCAGCCUUGGGCCUCUUAGGCCUUUUGCACUAUCUAGAGGGUGUGCGCGAGUGCACUCGCUAGUGUAGCUCUCGAGCUCCUCACGAUUAAUGAAGUCAGUUCGGAAGUUGAUCGUAGUUUUAUGAUGCCAUCCAAGAGUUUAUGUGACCCCAGCCCACGUACUCAACAAGUGAGGUUAUGUGUUGCUGCUACUAGUUAGAGAUGAUUGAGGAGAGUAAGAGAAGGGCGUUGGUGGGAGAAGAAGGCGCCUCUUGUGAAGCUUAACUUAAAAGGGUGGAGAAGUUAGAAUAAAUAAAUAAAUAUGGAUCUUGACACAUCACAUCCCUAUGUGCACGUGCACCACAUGCCAUCACCAUGGGGAGGGCAUGUGCCACUACUAGAGUAGGGCAUAGGCUAUUAGGCUGCAUGGGCCACGGGCAUGACAACACCGAUGGAAGGCAUAGAUCAUCCACCUCUCAAUAGAGGAAUUGUGCUCACGUGCUUCCACUAGAUCUCCAUACGCGGUCUUGGAUCUCUACACUCUAUAUCAUCGAAGGAGAGGGUGUGUGAGGGGCUAAGACUGUGGGCCUCUACUAUAGGGAGGGGGCAUUAGUAAUGGCGAGGCACACGACGGAGGGGUUUGGUGGUUUCUUGAGAGUUUAGGUUGUUUUCUAGUAGUAGGUGUUUAGACCACCUCUAAAUUCAAAAUAAGACUUGAUUUACAAAUUUGACCUAUGAAUUGAUUUACAGAUGUGUUGGUCCAUAUAUACCUGCCGCUUUAAUUGAAAUUCUAAGUCCCUUAAAAUCACUUAUAUAAUGCAAAAUAAUAACUCCACGGUAGAAGUACGGCAUGCUUUAGAAUUUGGCGAGAAAUGGAUGGACGAGGAACUUCGUACACGUCAGCACAAACACACACAUAGUACAGUAUAUCUGUAGAAAGUCGGAACCGUGGAGCGCCGGCGGGCUGCUGCAAAAAUAAGGUCAAGUACACGCAGUCAAAAGGUGGUCCUGUUCAUUGACCGCACACACGGAUGCAUUGCAUGUCUCUAUCCUUCUUUCGUUUCGUCCGGAAAUGGCAAAAGGCUACUAGCACGCAGAAAUGCAAAAACACGUGUUGUAUUGUAUAGCCAGCCCCAGGUUAUAGAGAAGAGAACGGAUGAGUGUGCUACCCGGCCGGGGUCUCAAAUUUGCCAUUUCCGGGAAGCUGCAAGAGUGCCGUAGGACAGCGAAACAAGUCAUAUCUAUUCGCCACUUUUGCAUAUUGAUUGACCAAAUUAGGCGAUUGGUUCACUGUAUCGGCAUGCAUACAAAUCGUAGCUACUCCAGGAAUGUUAAACGUAUUGCAUGUAGAGUCUUGUUUAGUUCCCAAAAUAUUUUACAAAAUUUUUCAUAUUCCUCGUUAUAUUAAUUUUUACGACACAUGAAUGAAACACUAAAUAUAGAUAAAAGAAAUAACUAAUUAUACAGUUUAUCUUUAAUUUACGAGAUAAAUCUUUUAAAUCUAAUUAUUUUAUAGUUAGAUAAUAUUUGUCAAAUACAAAUAAAAAUAAUACUAUUUCUAUUUUGCAAUUUUUUUUGAAAUAAACAAGGCCAUGGUACCCUAUACUAUGGUAGUAAUGAUGAAAACGGUCGGAAACGGUCGAAAAACUCUAAAAUUGUUUUCUACUUUUACAUUUGAAAUACGAAAACGAAAACGGUAAAGUCGGACACGAAAACGAACAUGAACUUACGAAAUAUCGAGAAUUUCGAAAACGAACCAAUUCGAUCGGAUUUAUGUCGAACACGGUCAAUAUACAAAAACUCAAUACGAAAUACCGAUAUAGUACCAAGUGCAUGACUAAGUAUAUACAGGAUCAAGUUCAAGUGCAUAUAAUGAUUAAAAAGUGCAUGAUCCUUGGUCUUAGGUAUUUAAUACAAUAGUCCGCACAUAAAUACAAGUCUAGAAUAAGCAAUUAAUAGCUAGCAGAAACGCAACUAGCCACCAGUACAAAGAACACAGAUGCAUGGUGAGUAGUCUGUAAUUGGGCUGUGUGACCCUAUAGUUGAUAAAAUUCGGUUUAAACCAAAUUUUAAAUUUAAAAUAUUUCAAAUUAAAAGUAGAAAAGUAGAAAACGGUCGAAAAAUGUCAAAAUCGUUUUCUACUUUUACAUUUAAAAUACGAAAUAUCUAAAAUACGAAAACGAAACGAUAAAGUCAGACAAUAAAAUACAAAUUCGAUCCGAUCAAAUAUAGAGCGGUUCAGUUCGGUUCGAUAUUUUCGUUAGUAUAUGGGCAAGCUGGCUGCGCCGCGAACCAACGCAGCAACGGCCAACCGCCUGCAUGUUUGACUGGAUCGCGUGCGAUUGCCUACUACUGGUUUACUUGCUCCACCAACCAAAUCAUCACACGCCACCCAUCUCGUUAAUUUUGGACUUGUUUAGUUCCAUCAAAAUCUAAAAACUUUUUAAAAUUAUACAUCAUAGCUAAUCUUACGACACAUGCACAAAUGAUUCAAUAUUAAUAAAAUAAAUAACUAAUUAUACAGUUUAUCUAUAAUUUAUGAGACGAAUAUUUUAAAAUUUAGUUAGUCUAUAAUUAAAUAAUAAUUACAAAAUAAAACAAAAAUACUAUAUUAUCUAAAAACUUUUCACCUAACGAAACAAGCCCCCAAUGUCACCCUGGUCUGUCUUUGUCUGCCAGUUUUCCUGCUUAUAUAUUCACACGUACAAGCCGCCGCCUCCUUCCACAAACUCCAGCUAGCUCCAGCUCCAGCCUCCUGCUCAUCGCCGGCGGCUAACGUACGACGAACGCAAGAUCUCAAUCGAUCGAGCUAAAAGUCCAAGGUCACAACAGCUUGUUCUUCUCAUCGAUCAGCUUCAGCUGCUAGCUAGCCAUGGUGGAACAUCUCGUUAUUGACCCGACCGCGCUCUCCCUUGCGCUCCCGGCGGCACCGGCACCGGCACCGGCACCGGCGCUCAGCAAGGAGGACUACCUCGCCAUCUGCCUCGCCGCGCUCGCCGGCACCCGCAAGUUUGGGCUCGGCCGCGACCGGGAGCAGCAGCAGCCGACCAACAAGUGGUGCCCAACGACGCUCGCACCCGCGCAGCCGCAGGAGCUCCGGUUCCGGUGCGCCGUCUGCGG
rnacentral:lncRNA from 1 species